AUUGAACGCUGGCGGCAUGCUUUACACAUGCAAGUCGAACGGUAACAGGUUAAGCUGACGAGUGGCGAACGGGUGAGUAAUGCAUCGGAACGUGCCCGGUCGUGGGGGAUAACGCAGCGAAAGCUGCGCUAAUACCGCAUACGAUCUAAGGAUGAAAGCGGGGGACCGUAAGGCCUCGCGCGAUCGGAGCGGCCGAUGUCAGAUUAGGUAGUUGGGGGGGUAAAGGCUCACCAAGCCAACGAUCUGUAGCUGGUCUGAGAGGACGACCAGCCACACUGGGACUGAGACACGGCCCAGAAUCCUACGGGAGGCAGCAGUGGGGAAUUUUGGACAAUGGGCGAAAGCCUGAUCCAGCAAUGCCGCGUGCAGGAAGAAGGCCUUCGGGUUGUAAACUGCUUUUGUACGGAGCGAAAAGGUCUCCUCUAAUACAGGGGGCUCAUGACGGUACCGUAAGAAUAAGCACCGGCUAACUACGUGCCAGCCGCCGCAGUAA
rnacentral:rRNA from 1 species